ACUCCUUCGUUCACUCUUCUUCUCUUGCGGCUAGGGUUUUAGCGCAGCUUCUUCUAGAUUUAAGGAAGAUGGGUAAGGAAAAGGUUCACAUCAGUAUUGUGGUUAUUGGCCAUGUUGACUCUGGGAAGUCCACUACCACUGGCCACCUGAUCUACAAGCUUGGAGGCAUUGACAAGCGUGUUAUUGAGAGAUUUGAGAAGGAAGCUGCUGAGAUGAACAAGAGGUCUUUCAAGUAUGCCUGGGUGCUUGAUAAGCUUAAGGCUGAGCGUGAAAGAGGAAUCACAAUUGAUAUUGCCUUGUGGAAGUUUGAAACCACCAAGUACUAUUGCACAGUCAUUGAUGCCCCUGGACACAGGGAUUUCAUCAAGAACAUGAUCACUGGGACAUCCCAAGCUGACUGUGCUGUUCUUAUCAUUGAUUCCACUACUGGUGGUUUUGAAGCUGGAAUUUCAAAGGAUGGACAGACUCGUGAACAUGCUCUGCUUUCAUUCACCCUUGGUGUGAAACAGAUGAUUUGUUGCUGUAACAAGAUGGAUGCUACUACACCAAAGUACUCCAAGGCCAGGUAUGAUGAAAUUGUGAAGGAAGUUUCUUCCUAUUUGAAGAAAGUAGGAUACAACCCUGACAAGAUUCCUUUUGUUCCUAUAUCUGGUUUUGAGGGAGACAACAUGAUUGAGAGGUCCACAAACCUUGACUGGUACAAGGGUCCUACUCUGCUAGAUGCACUUGACCAGAUCUCUGAGCCCAAGAGGCCUUCUGACAAGCCCCUCAGGCUACCCCUUCAGGAUGUGUACAAGAUUGGAGGAAUUGGAACUGUGCCUGUGGGACGGGUUGAGACCGGUGUCUUGAAGCCUGGAAUGGUGGUGACUUUUGCACCAACUGGACUGACAACCGAAGUUAAGUCUGUGGAAAUGCACCAUGAAGCUCUCACAGAGGCUCUUCCCGGUGAUAAUGUUGGAUUCAAUGUUAAGAAUGUUGCUGUUAAGGAUCUCAAGCGUGGUUAUGUUGCCUCGAACUCAAAGGAUGAUCCUGCCAAGGAGGCUGCUAACUUCAUUGCCCAGGUUAUCAUCAUGAACCAUCCUGGUCAGAUUGGAAAUGGCUAUGCCCCUGUUCUUGACUGCCACACUUCCCACAUUGCUGUCAAGUUUGCUGAACUCAUGACCAAGAUUGACAGGCGAUCUGGCAAAGAGCUUGAGAAGGAACCCAAGUUUUUGAAGAAUGGUGAUGCUGGUUUUGUUAAGAUGAUUCCGACCAAACCCAUGGUGGUUGAAACUUUCUCUGAGUACCCCCCACUUGGUCGCUUUGCUGUCAGGGAUAUGCGUCAAACUGUUGCUGUGGGAGUCAUCAAGAACGUGGAGAAGAAGGAUCCUACUGGAGCCAAGGUCACCAAGGCUGCCCAGAAGAAGAAGUGAAUCGUGCGGUUUGGUUCAUCAGGGGAUGUCGUUUCUUAUGGUUACAAUAAAUGUUGGUUUCUUGCCCUUGUGUCUUCGUUUCUAGGUAGCUUGUUUUUCGGACAUAGUUUGAAGUCUCCACCAUCAUCUCGCAACUUUUGUUCCCAGAAUUGGGUUCUUGAUCGACGGUGGCAAGACUCCUUUUAUCAUUCUGUUUUAAUGUGUUGUGUUUGUCGGAACCC
rnacentral:precursor_RNA from 1 species